UCGCGCAAACUUUGCAAUACACGCAAGUGUGACAGGGCUAUCCCGAGUGCCGUCCGCUGAGGAUGGCUUUUACUCAGUCUAGAACGCUGGGAGAAUAAGGAGAGGGCAAGUCUGGUGUCAGCCGCCGCGGUAAUACCAGCUCUCCGAGUGGUGUGGAUGUUUAUUGGGCCUAAAGCAUCCGUAGCUGGCCAAGUUAGUCCCCUGUUAAACCCACCGAAUCAAUCGUUGGAUUGCGGGGGAUACUGCUCGGCUAGGGGACGAGAGAGGCAGACGGUAUUUUCGGGGUAGGGGUGAAAUCCUAUAAUCCCGGGAAGACCACCAGUGGCGAAGGCUGUCUGCUAGAACGAGCCCGACGGUGAGGGAUGAAAGCUGGGGGAGCGAACCGGAUUAGAUACCCGGGUAGUCCCAGCUGUAAACGAUGCAGGCUAGGUGUUUGGGCGGCCACGUGCCGCUCUAGUGCCGCAGGGAAACUGUUAAGCCUGCCGCCUGGGGGAUACGGUCGCAAGAUUGAAACUUAAAGG
rnacentral:rRNA from 1 species